UUUGACGUCUGGUGGGUCGUAGGAUCGAUUACUCUUGAGGGACUCGGAUUUUUUUUCUCUCCCGUCUCAACUAGCGCCCCACGACCGCUACGUCCAAGGUCGUGGUAUGUGCUGUCUUGUCUAUGGGAAAGUGCUUUAUAAAAGAUCGCAUGCUGUGUUUCGAUCGAUGUACCCAAUGUGACAACAUCAGGUUACCUCUCUGAGAACACAAUAGAACAGAACUUUAUUUACAGUCGGGCCGUUCUGUAACGGCGUAAGAGAAACAUACAUAGAUUUGGACACGGUGGUUUACAGGAGGGUGUAAACAAUAGUAAAGGGAUUUCUUGAGUUGAAAUCUGUAUUAUAUUUCCUUUAAAAUUUGAGGACAGCCACCUGUGAAGCCACCAGAAGAAGUCAUCACAUUUAGGUAGAGAGACACGUGCGUUUUUUAAAUAUAAAAAAAAUGCAAUUCAUGGUGAUGGGAACACCAGGAUGACCGGAAACGCUUCAGAUAUACGGAAAUCUAAAUAAUAUUGAUCUGUGUUAUGCCACAUAACGGUAAGUCUACUUGACCAGUGCAUUGAUCCAGCCAAUUAAAUCUGAUACCAGA